rnacentral:lncRNA from 1 species
UGCCAAACCGAUGAGACCAGUUUGACUGAGUUAGUUCCAAAACCUCCAGAGACACCUUCUCGGUCCACCUACUGGCUCAACCGACUUAAGUCAGCUGAGUCGGGUGAGUUAGCUCACUCAAGGGUUUCCUUAAGGUUAAUCUCACAUAGGUCAACUAAGAGCACUUUCGGUGUUAUCAAUUAACUAAUGUUGCAUUCCUAUUGAUAGUACGACAUACCUAUACUCAAGAAUAAAUAUAAACACAAUAUUAUCCGCUUGAGAUUAUAAGUCUUCAUCCAUGCCAUACUUUGAUCAAUAUUCACUUGAGGGCUCUCAACAUUGCUAUCAUUUUGAGCACAUCCAACUUGAGCUAGUGACUUAAGAUUUUCCAUCAUUCAUGAUAAGAUAUACUUGAAUCCUUAAGUCACUCCAUUUUAUCAAUCAUAAUAGAUUAGAUGCAUUGCAUUGCUUCCCUCGGUAAGGCUUAGAUAUGAUACUUUAAAACAUCUCGGAUACUAGCCACUUCACCUUAGCAAAACACACAUGGUCCAAGCCAUCGCUUAACCAAUCCUUGAUUAGUCCCUCGCUCUAACAUCUCGCUUCAUUUCUUCACCUAUUCUUACCACAUUGCGUUUAGCUUUGUUUUUUACAUCAACAAUGAAUUCCAUUUGAAAUCCUGUUCAAAUGCUUGUUCUUGAUUAAUAAUAGAAUAUCCCAUGAAUUGCAAGCUUCCAAUAAUAAGACCAAUAUGAAACACAUAAGCCCAUGUCCUUUUAUCAUAUACGUAUGACGUCUUGCAAUGUCCAAUUGUGAAUAUCACUAUUCUUUUCUUCAUGAUCCCUUCUCUUGUCAAUCAAGCUAUCACAUGAUUUGGGGACUUAUAGAUGAAACAUCAUAGAACAUAUCCCCAAGUUUCACUUCAC